rnacentral:rRNA from 1 species
UACGUAGGGUGCGAGCGUUAAUCGGAAUUACUGGGCGUAAAGCGUGCGCAGGCGGUCUGUUAAGACAGAUGUGAAAUCCCCGGGCUUAACCUGGGAACUGCAUUUGUGACUGGCAGGCUAGAGUAUGGUAGAGGGGGGUAGAAUUCCACGUGUAGCAGUGAAAUGCGUAGAGAUGUGGAGGAAUACCGAUGGCGAAGGCAGCCCCCUGGGCCAAUACUGACGCUCAUGCACGAAAGCGCGGGGAGCAAACAGG